ACGGGAGGCAGCAGUGGGGAAUAUUGGACAAUGGUCGGAAGACUGAUCCAGCCAUGCCGCGUGAAGGCAGACGGUCCUACGGAUUGUAAACUUCUUUUGUACGGGAACAAUAAGGGCCACGUGUGGUCCGAUGAGAGUACCGUACGAAUAAGCAUCGGCUAACUCCGUGCCAGCAGCCGCGGGAAUACGGAGGAUGCGAGCGUUAUCCGGAUUUAUUGGGUUUAAAGGGUGCGCAGGCGGAAUGGUAAGUCAGCGGUGAAACGCAGGUGCCCAACCCCGGCCCUGCCGUUGAAACUGUCGUUCUGGAAUGCGGAUGAUGUGGGAGGAAUGUGUGGUGUAGCGGUGAAAUGCAUAGAUAUCACACAGAACACCGAUUGCGAAGGCAGCUCACAAAUCCGUAAUUGACGCUGAGGCACGAAAGUGCGGGGAUCGAACAGGAUUAGAUACCCUGGUA
rnacentral:rRNA from 1 species